rnacentral:lncRNA from 1 species
CUUGCUUAAAUUAAAUGUUUUCAGUUACGUAUGAGCAACCUGAAGGUUCAGGCACGCAUAAAGGGAAAGAAAAGCUGUUCGAAUGAGAAUUAGUAUGAGUUAAUGGUUAUAGUUGGUAAGACAAUGGAAUCUAUUGUUAGGUAUUGUAAGGAAUGUAUUUGAAGGUCUCGUACCUGGGAAGUAAACUCUGAUGUAUGUAAAUUAAGUUUGAAUGUAACAUUUCUAUUGUAUGAUUCAGCUUAUAGAAAUGGUAUCGUGAAG